rnacentral:lncRNA from 9 species
UUUUUUUUUUUUUUUUUUUUAAAUAGUAGAAAUUUAUUCCUCAAUUCUGGAGACUAGAAGUCUAAGGUCAUCCUGUUUUCAGGGUUUGUUGUUUGUUUUGCUUUUUACAGCCACACCUGUGGCAUAUAGAAGUUCCUAGGCUAGGGGACAAAUUGGAGCUGCAGUUGCUGGCCUAGACCACAGCUCAUGGCAACGUCAGAUCCUUAGCCCACCAAACGAGGCGAGGGAUUGAACCUGUAUCCUCAUGGGUACUAGUUGGGUUCAUACUGCCGAGCCACACAGGAACUCCUCGAAGAGGUUUUGAACAUAUUUUGUACUGGACUCUGGAUUUCUAUGUAAACUGAAGUAUUCGGGGCUACUGAUUUGCUGAGGCAGUUAAAAAGUGUAAAACCUAACAAUGGUCUUAGGGAGUAGGUGUUGAGAUGCAGACAUUUGGCUUGUAAUUGUCAGGUAGGUCCUGAGCAUCAGUGUUUAAUAAGCUUCCAGGUAACUCUAGGUGCCAUGGAUUGAAAACUACUGGGAUGAGUAACCGAGUUCUUAGCCCCAGUGGUGCGGCUGGAAUCUGAGAACAACUUAGUAUUUUGGAGCUUAUGCUCCAAAUUAGAGUGUUUUUCGUACAUGUAAUUAUCCUUUUUGCUUGCCUUAGAAUUGAAAGAGCAUUCAUUAAACAUAACUGCUUCACAUCUGUUUUCAGCUCCACUACCAACCUUGUCAAGGAACUUGACUGAUUUGUCAUCUUUUCAUAAAGAUUCUGAUAGCCAGCUGUGUCGAACCUGUCCUCUGAGGUAGCUGAUACAUAGAUGAUGGCAAGGGUAGUUGUGAUGCUGUCUUCAGCAUCACAAACUUGGUAUUUUUCACCCUUCCUUUCUGCUCUUGUAGAAAACAUGCAGUCCUAGAUGGGCCUGAGGAGACCAGGUGGGAGCACUGAGUAGAGUGGUACAUUCUAGUCCAUGGUGCCUCAUUUUCAUCAUUGCAUUAUACUCUGCAGUAGCAACCACGAACCAUGGCCUGGAACCUGGCUUGUCAUUGCCCCCAGAGAACACUGCUAAGUGACCAAGCUUAGCACAAACAAUUUGAUGGCACAGAGGUAAUUCAAGGACUUCUCAGUAAGAAUUUGCCCAUUUCACUGAGAUGAACUUCUAUACCUGAGGACACCUGCACUUCUAAUCCUCCUCCUGGCUUUUCUUUCCCCUAGUAACACCCACUCCCCACAGGUUCGGCUUAAAUAUCCCUACUGGUCACCUAGCCCGCCCUCUGCACACCCAGUCAUGGUAGUCACUGGGACAGGAUUACCCCAGUGUGGCUCCACUUAACGUGGGUGUGUUUGGGGACCUGUAACACUGAGUCAGGACACAGAGAUGUGUACUUUCUCAGUGCUUGACGCUUGGCUGAUGUACCUACUUCUUAGGAGGUAGGGUUUUUUUUUCCGCAUGUGGAAGUUUGGGGCUGGGGCCAGGGAUCACCCUGUGCCACAGCAGUGACAAUGCUGGACCUUAACCCACUGAGCCACUCAGAAACUCCUAACUGAAACUGUGCGUGUAACACAGGAGGUGACAUUCAUCUCUAAGCUGAGGCCAUUUGCCCACUAAUAUUUUAGGUGAUAGUUUCCACAUCAUGAACCUGAACAGACGAGGAUGAUUGCAGUCAUGGCCCCCAGAGUUCACCUGUGUGAAUCCUAAAACCUGGCUUCUCCCGUAAGGCUACUAACACCUCUGUACCCCGGCCUCCCCAGCUUUUCUGGCUUUAACAGCAGGGCUGCUUGUUUUGAAGCUGGGGAGCAUCCUUCAGGCAGCAGGGCUGUGGUCUCAAAUCACAUUGGAAUCUUGGCUCCAGGUCAGUUUUUGGCUUAUAUUUUAAACAGCAAAUAGCUCAAAGCUAUCUGUAAAGUGAAAAAAACUGGUCUUAUGGAUUCACUAUGAUGGAUUACACUACACACUGUUGGUAAUGGGCCUAUUACUUAGAACAAUAAAUGGUACCUGUUACUUCUUUUCAGAGUCUUCCUUCAGUGCCACCAGGUUGCUUGCAUGCCACUUGAGAGGCAGGUCUGAAAUGGCACUGGAUGAGCCAGUUCUGGAAUGCCUUUAAUGUUUGGCCACUGACUGCAGACUCUGGAGGGCAGCAGAUGAUGUGGGUGAAGCUGGUCAACUGGGAAGUGGAGGGGAGGUGUGCUGGGAGUUGGGGAACAGCCCAGGUCCUUCCAGGGACCACAGCAGCCCUGCUUUAUGGAGGAGCAGUUCUCUACUGCUUGGGGCCCAGAGGGAGCAGUCCGAUAUUUUAAACAUUCCUUUGAAUGUGGUUAAACCUGAGCAGCAUUUUAAAAACCAGUUUUUCUUGGGCAUUUAGAUCUUGAUUCCAAAUUAGUUCACAGUUUAAAUUAGAAAUGUGAUUUGGGGAAUUCCCUGGUAGUGAAGCUGGUUAAGGAUCUAGCAUUGUUACUGCCAUGGUGUGGUUUUGAUCCCUGUCCCAGGAAUUUCUGCAUACCUUGGGUAUUGCCAAAAACAAAUGAUUUGCCUUUGAAAACAAACCAGAAACACUGCAAAUAUAACAGUUUUACUAAUAACUAAAUUUUUUCUUACAACUUUGGGUUUUUUCCGUCUUACAUCUUCCUAAAGAUUCUACCAUGUUCCCCCUUUACUGGAUGCUAUAUAGUCUUACUCCAGGAGGUCCUGCUGCGGCACAGUGGGUUAAUGAUCCAGCUUGUCUCUGGAGGCUUGGGUUCAAUCCCCAGCAAUGGGUUAAGGAUCUAGUGUUGCUGCAGCCGUGCUAUAGAUAAGCUCUGGCUUGGAUUCAAUCCCUGGCCCAGGAGCUUCCAUAUGCUGCAGGUGCAGCUGAAAAAGAAAAAGCAAAACCCUUUUAUUUGGCCCUAAAGAAUGCCAUCUCAUCAGCAGUGUGGGAGUCUGGUAUUUUUGGCUGGUUAACUAGGUUGGGACACAGAAGCCCAAAGUUAAUUAAAAACUAAGGUGCUAGAAGUGAGGUUGAACCCUCUCUCAGAACAGUUUAUCUUGGAGUUCCCGUUGUGGGAUCUGGCCUCCCGUUGUGGGAUCCCUGGCCUUGAACCUGCAUCCUCAUGGGUACUAGUGGGGUUCAUAAGGAUCUGGCAUUUCUGAGCUGUGGUCUCAGUCACAGAUGUGGCUUGGAUCUGGCAUGGCUGUGGCUGUGGUGUAGACAUCCCUAGGGAGGCAUUUUUUUCUUUUGCACCUGCUCUUUUUUAGUGACAGUAUCUGAGGCCCUUACCUGGGUGCUGGGGGACAUACACUCGAGUGUUAGGCCAAAGUACUCCCUCUGUUAUUACUUGUGUAAGACAGAGCUGGCAAAGGUCUUUUUAAUAUUAGGAGGCUUUAUAUAUAUAUAUAUAUUCAGGGCCACAUCCGAGAGGUAUGGAGGUUCCCAGGCUAGGGGUUCAAUCGGAGCUGUAGCCUCCAGCAUAGCCGCAACAAUGUCAGAUCCGAGCCAUGUCUGCAACCUACACCACAGCUCAUGGCAAUGCUGGAUCCUUAACCCACUAAGCGAGGCCAGGGAUUGAACCUGUGUCCUCAUGGGUGCUAGUCAGAUUCCUUUCCGCUGAGCCACAACGGGAACUCUAGGGUUUUUUUUGGUGUGUUGUCCACACACAAAUGUGUUAUAUUAUUCUACCCUGCUUACAACAUGGACUAGUCUAACAUUAGGAUUUUUCACUUGUGUUGACAGUUACUGUGCAGGAGUGUGGGUGUUAUCCCAAAUCAGGAUUUUCAUGUGAGAUUUUCCGGUUUUUAUACCAUAACAUAAGUCAAAGCAGCACAUAGGCCAAAUUCAUUCUGCCGGCUAGAAGUUUACAGCUGAGGAUAGAUAAGAUAAAUAGAUAUGUGAAUGCUACUAGGAUGUGAGUACAGUCUUAUUACUACAAAAGUGCUGUUAAAAUUUACGGGGCAGCUAGGAACAGUGUAAGUUAGGGCUGCUGGCACAAAAGGCAGUGCAGCCCAGUAGUCCCUGCUCUUACUUGUUCAACCAUCAAAUCUUACAUGCAGCCUAUGCCAGGGCUGGAUGUCAGGGUGGAGAUUAAAAAUAAAGGUAAGAUUACUGUAAGGGGAAGGCCUGUACAACUUGAACCCAGGGAUUUAAAAGCUACAUGAGCUUUUACAAGUCCUGCAAAGCCCCUUAGCCUGGCCCAGGCGACUGGACACAGGAAUUAGGUUAGGCCACAUCCUAGACCUGGUUAUAGAGCAUGUGGGUUUUCAGAACAAUUCAGAACUUUACAUACAUCUGUUUUGAGCAAUUCUUUUUCUUUUUAUGGCCAUACCUUUGGCAUAUGAAACUUCCCAGGCCAGGGGCCAAGUUGCAGCUGCAGGCCGACAUCACAGCCACAGCAACACUGGAGUUGAGCUGCAUCUGCAACCUACGCUGCAGCUUGUGGCAAUGCCAAAUUCUUAACCCCCUGCGUGAGGACAAGGAUGGAAUCUGCAUCCUCACAGAGACUAUAUCAGGUCCUUAACCCACUGAGCACAAUGGGAACUCCUUGAACAAUUUUUAUAUGUACUGUCUCCUUUAAAACCACAUCUCCAUAAGGCAAAAGUGCCAAUUUCAUGGAUGAGAAAAUAUGCCAAUUUCACAGCAGAGUAAAAAUGAGAGGUCAAAAAUAUUGUCUAAGGCUAUAGGAGCUAAUAAGGGGUGGAAUGAGGUUGUGAAUCCAGGCUGGCUGAACUGUCUCAAAUGACAGGUAGUCUUGGAGUUCUCGUAGUGGUGCAGUGGAAAUGAAUCUGACUAGGAGCCAUGAGGUUGUGGGUUUGAUCCCAGGCCUCACUCAGUGGGUUGAGGAUCCCACGUUGCGGUGAGCUGUGGUGUAGGUCGCAGACACGGCUCGAAUCCUGAGUUGCUGUGGCUCUGGCAUAGGCUGGCGGCUACAGCUCUGAUUUGACCCCUAGACUGGGAACUUCUUUUGUGGAGGGUGUGGCCCUAAAAAGACAAAAAACAGCAGCAGGAUGAGCAGAGGAAGGACUUUAGCAGACUGGCAAGAUAAAUGGAUCAGCAUGCUGUUUCAAGUACCAGGAAGUCAGACUCUCACUGAUUUCAACACUAAAGGGAAUUUACUGGUUUACACAACUGAAGAUUGAGUAGUGGGCUCCAGGUAAAGCCUGAAAUCUUUCAGCAACUCAAUGACUUCCACGUACUAAGGACUGUCUGCCCUUGGAGUCUGAAAGUGGCUGUCAGCUAGGGAAGGACCAUCCAAAUGAUCACAAUACUUCAUUUCUGAGUUCAAGGUGGCUGUUCCCAUAGUCACCAGAGAAGGAACGUGGGUACUUUGCAUGGUACCGCCUAAGCGACACACAUUCCUUUCAUUCAAUUCCCACUGGCCAUUAUUUAUUAGCAGACUCAUAUCUAGCUGCUGCGGAGGUGCGACGGCCAUAGCCCCUCCUAAACGUUCACGGAGAAUACUGGUCAUAGUUCAGGCCUGACCCUGGUGCCCAUUCCCAGUACGUGUCCGUCCUGCCUGAUGUGGUGCUUCCUGACUGCGGCCGGUGUGCCAGUGGCAGAAGUAACCGCGGCGAAGCACCGUGCUUGCAAAGGGCCAGCCGCUGUAAGUGGCUGAAGUAGCCACCAGCCCUCGCCUGAAUUCCACACCACAGUUCACUGCAACACUGACACCCUGUGGGAGGAGCCAGCAGAACCAUCCGGAUCGUGGCCUCUCCCCUGCCUUCCCGGUCCUUGACUAAGGACCUUCCGAUCCCAGCAAUGUGCCCAGCACACACCUACCGACUUCCCCUCUGCGGGCAGUGAUACACCACCUCUCUCAUCAGCCUCCUCCAGUAAGUGCGUUUUUCUUCCUUGGACCUUACAUUUCUAUUUUAAAAGAAAGUGACCUCAAGCACUGGUCCAGCUCUGACCCCGCGAUUCCAGGAGAAAAUCUCAGAAAAAGCAUAGGCCCCAUGUAAAUGCCAGAGAGGCGGGCAGGAGUUGACGAGGCCCGCACACGGUGUGUCUGUUCUUUCAGAAUCAGACAGGGUCCGCGGGACGCGUAACUACUGCGGCGUUCGAAAGCCCGCACCUCCUUAGACGCAAAUGC